GACGAACGCUGGCGGCGUGCUUAACACAUGCAAGUCGAACGGAAAGGCCUGCUUUCCCUUGUGGAUUGCGGGUACUCGAGUGGCGAACGGGUGAGUAACACGUGAGUGAUCUGCCCCCAACUUGGGUAUAAGCCUGGGAAACGGGGUCUAAUUCCCGAUAGGACUGCAGGGUGGUGCCUGUGGUGGAAAACGAGUUUCUAGUGGUUGGGGAUGAGCUCGCGGCCUAUCAGCUUGUUGGUGGGGUAAUGGCCUACCAAGGCGGCGACGGGUAGCCGGCCUGGGAGGGUGGACGGCCACAUUGGGACUGAGAUCCGGCCCAGCCUCCUACGGGAGGCAGCAGUGGGUAAUAUUGCACGAUGGGCGGAAGCCUGAUGCAGCGGCGCCGCGUGGGGGAUGACGGCCUUCGGGUUGUAAACUCCUUUCGAGCGCGAGGACGCCACCUGGUUGGCAGGGUGGUGGCGGUAGUGGUAGAAGAAGCACCGGCUAACUACGUG
rnacentral:rRNA from 1 species